CAGGCUUAACACAUGCGAGUCGAGGGGCAGCAUGGUCUUAGCUUGCUAAGGCCGAUGGCGACCGGCGCACGGGUGAGUAACACGUAUCCAACCUGCCGUCUACUCUUGGACAGCCUUCUGAAAGGAAGAUUAAUACAAGAUGGCAUCAUGAGUCCGCAUGUUCACAUGAUUAAAGGUAUUCCGGUAGACGAUGGGGAUGCGUUCCAUUAGAUAGUAGGCGGGGUAACGGCCCACCUAGUCUUCGAUGGAUAGGGGUUCUGAGAGGAAGGUCCCCCACAUUGGAACUGAGACACGGUCCAAACUCCUACGGGAGGCAGCAGUGAGGAAUAUUGGUCAAUGGGCGAGAGCCUGAACCAGCCAAGUAGCGUGAAGGAUGACUGCCCUAUGGGUUGUAAACUUCUUUUAUAAAGGAAUAAAGUCGGGUAUGCAUACCCGUUUGCAUGUACUUUAUGAAUAAGGAUCGGCUAACUCCGUGCCAGCAGCCGCGGUAAUACGGAGGAUCCGAGCGUUAUCCGGAUUUAUUGGGUUUAAAGGGAGCGUAGAUGGAUGUUUAAGUCAGUUGUGAAAGUUUGCGGCUCAACCGUAAAAUUGCAGUUGAUACUGGAUAUCUUGAGUGCAGUUGAGGCAGGCGGAAUUCGUGGUGUAGCGGUGAAAUGCUUAGAUAUCACGAAGAACUCCGAUUGCGAAGGCAGCCUGCUAAGCUGCAACUGACAUUGAGGCUCGAAAGUGUGGGUAUCAAACAGGAUUAGAUACCCUGGUAGUCCACACGGUAAACGAUGAAUACUCGCUGUUUGCGAUAUACAGCAAGCGGCCAAGCGAAAGCGUUAAGUAUUCCACCUGGGGAGUACGCCGGCAACGGUGAAACUCAAAGGAAUUGACGGGGGCCCGCACAAGCGGAGGAACAUGUGGUUUAAUUCGAUGAUACGCGAGGAACCUUACCCGGGCUUAAAUUGCAGAUGAAUUACGGUGAAAGCCGUAAGCCGCAAGGCAUCUGUGAAGGUGCUGCAUGGUUGUCGUCAGCUCGUGCCGUGAGGUGUCGGCUUAAGUGCCAUAACGAGCGCAACCCUUGUUGUCAGUUACUAACAGGUUCUGCUGAGGACUCUGACAAGACUGCCAUCGUAAGAUGUGAGGAAGGUGGGGAUGACGUCAAAUCAGCACGGCCCUUACGUCCGGGGCUACACACGUGUUACAAUGGGGGGUACAGAGGGCCGCUACCACGCGAGUGGAUGCCAAUCCCAAAAACCUCUCUCAGUUCGGACUGGAGUCUGCAACCCGACUCCACGAAGCUGGAUUCGCUAGUAAUCGCGCAUCAGCCACGGCGCGGUGAAUACGUUCCCGGGCCUUGUACACACCGCCCGUCAAGCCAUGGGAGCCGGGGGUACCUGAAGUGCGUAACCGCGAGGAGCGCCCUAGGGUAAAACUGGUGACUGGGGC
rnacentral:rRNA from 1 species